AUUUAGCCAUGCUAGGCAGGUCGAUAUGGUCUCUGCAUAUAGUAGACACAGUAGCGAGAACUAUUGAAGCAUAUUCAGCCAGCAAGACAGAUCAAUAGGGACUCUGCAUAUAUUAUAGAAUUUUAAGUUGAAAAGAACAGACGGCCUGUUAAGUCCAGGAUACAGUCCCAUUGAAGUGGUUAUCUAAAGGUGAAGAGCUCAAGAUGGGUAACUCCCAUGGCAACAGAGUAAAUGACUGCAAGGCGUGAG
rnacentral:sRNA from 1 species